GUGCCACUGGUUACGGUGCACGCGUGCCAGGGGUUGCCGACCCCUGACUUAACUUAUGAGGCAAUAAACCUGUGUGUGAGAAGGUUUGGACCCCCCUGCUCUAAAGUGACAUCAAGUCCAUGAGAUGGGCCAGAACCUGAGCCUCACUUCUGACUUCCUUCCUCUUUCGAUGUGUCCUGCUCACUGUGUGUUCAUUGUGUUUCUCUAGUGGGAUGGGCAACUCCUAAAGCGUCUAGGCUGCCAAAACUAGAGCCCCUCGGAGACUCCAGACAUUCUGAAUUUCACAAGAAGCCUCUGCCUCCUCUCGCCAAGCGGCCGAACGGCGACUCUCACGACAUCGUUUUUUAGACUUCCUGUUACCGAUUGAGCUCGUCCAAUCAUGGCUCUCUCUCCCUCCUUUCUUUUUGUUUGCUUUCUGUCUCAAGCGAGCGCCGUGUAGACGCCACACUCAGAGACUCCUGAGGCGCCGAAGACUACGAAACCCAGGAGCAUCAUGGGAAAUGAAGUGCUGAUGGGAAGCAGCUUCACAAACGGACACGAUUGAGUGACGGUGCUUUCUUUAGACUGACAUUUUCUACUGUUAUCAGUGUUAGACGGUACGUGUGUCCCACAGAAAGGCUUUGAACUGACUCAGAAUGUAAAUAUGUCCACUAUAACCUUAUAUAUGUGUAUGUCUGUUUCUGAAUAAUGGAUUUGUACACACACGCCGCCAUUAAACAAUGACCAUAUAUGUUCAUUUUGCACCUUCGGUUUUGUAGUGUAGACAAAAGGUGUUUUGAUAUCUCGGAGGUCUUAAGUGGCUUUUCACAGCUCAGUGCUUUAAAUCUGAUCUUUUUUCACGGUGGGAACAGUUUCCCUUUUUACAAAACAAGCAGACGUGUGUGUGUGGUUCGCCGCACUUCGCUGUACUGUACAUGGAGAAAUAAAUACACUACAUUAUUAUUGUUGUUAAAGGGUCAAUUUUAGAUAUGAAUGUUUUGACAUUUCACGUUUUGUCUCAUAAGGGAUUUGUAUUUAUUGUUUAAAAUGUAAACAUAUAUUUGUCUUUAUUUGUCUACAGGGCUACAGAUUGUUUACACUGUGUAUCUGCUUUUUAAAGUGACAUUUCUCUCGAGGCAGACUCCCCAAAGACGUGAGCCUGCUGCUGUUUUUGUUCCAGCUUUUCCCGCACCCAUUUUCACUUUGAUAAAAAGCUGAAAAUAGCAAAAUAAAAGAAAUCAUCUCAAUAAGCACAAAUCAGGAUUAAAGAACUUGGAAAGCCAACAUUGCCCCAGUUUAGAGUUUGCAGGAAGGGAGGAGAACAUUUCUUCACCUGGAACUGCCAAUACUGGGUCAGAACACAUGAGAAUAUGUGCAGAAAAAGGAAAGAAAUAUCACUUUAAAAACAUUGAGUACUGUAUUUCAGAUCCACAUCACAGCACUCACUCUCUGUUAAUGAGCUAGAUGUUUGAAGAAAUAUUUUUUCUACGCAGUUUGGAUUUUAUAACCGCACAAUAAAAUAUGUUUUUCCGUAUUUA